CUGCACGUAGCACCAGAUGCUCUUGCUGUUGAAGUUUGGGCACAGAGAGCCCUCUGGGGCCCCAAGCUCCUGUUGUUUCCCAAACGCCCACCUAUUCUCUCCCUUUCCAUAUUGUUCACAAAAACAAUCCACUAUUCUUACUAUCAUGCAACUUGGAAAUCUGUGUGAUCCCUUAAGGGUAGAAAAAAAUAAACAUGAGCAAGCCAGAAAAAGAUGACGGAAACAAGGUCAAGAGCUGACAACUUACUUUCAUCUUACAGAGGUCAACAGAAAGGGCAAAGAAGACAAGCAGGAAUCCCGUCUCAGUUCACGUGCCUGUACUGUUCGGUCAAACCCCACGAGAUUACCAACACUCACCUUGUUGAUCUCCAGAACUGAAAGUUUGUGAACAACGGAGUCCCCAGGAGCACCCGGUAUCCACACUGUUUUAUCUUGUCUUAUUUGAUUUUUUGCCCUUAUUGUGAUCAUUACAGUGAAGGAUCUAUUGAGAAUAAACAAUGUGUGAAGCACCAUUCUAAACAUUUAUGCUAAUCUAUUUAAUCCUAACAAAACACUGUCCACAGGUACUAUUAUUAUUCCCAUUGUACACAACUGGAAAGAGCUGGGAUGGGACUUUGAACCCCAGGGCCAGACUCUGCCCACGUCAAACACAAUAUGAGCUGCUUCUGGUGCGAGUUCAGACUUCUGUCACUUACCGUUCUGACAAAUCGCAUCCUAGCGUUUUGUAAAGUGGAAGCUAAG